rnacentral:rRNA from 1 species
UACAGAGGUCUCAAGCGUUGUUCGGAUUCAUUGGGCGUAAAGGGUGCGUAGGUGGCGCGGUAAGUCGGGUGUGAAAUCUCGGAGCUUAACUCCGAAAUUGCAUUCGAUACUGCCGUGCUUGAGGACUGGAGAGGAGACUGGAAUUCAUGGUGUAGCAGUGAAAUGCGUAGAGAUCAUGAGGAAGGCCAGUGGCGAAGGCGGGUCUCUGGACAGUUCCUGACACUGAGGCACGAAGGCCAGGGGAGCAAACGGG